CUGCAGCAGGAUGUGAUCCACCAGCAAGGAGGGACACCAAUAAGGCGUCCGAUAAGAGGACUCCCCAAGCUCUGCCUGAUAUUUGGCUGUGAGACUCUACAUCUGCUCCAACAGUUGCUGGAUGAAGUCUCUCUGGUCUUUUUGAGGAGGAUUCUGCUAGGUCCCAGUCCCAGAACACUCCUCAGGCAGGGCAAACUGAAGGUUGAAGGGUUUAUGACUGAGUUGGUGUCCCAAUCACUUCACUUGUGGCCUUGCCUGGUUCAAGAAGAUGGCUGGUUCAGGCUCUGUGUUCCCCCUAUGACUAGGAGUCUUUGCUGGUGUUACUCUUUGUAGAUACCAUAGUAUUUCUAUUGCACUAGGUUUCCACGUCGCCCCGAAAUGCUACCCAACUCCAGUCCUAUCUCCCAGUGUUUUCUAACCCCUCCUACCUGAUCCACCGUGUUCCCAGCCCCACCCACCUCCAGUCCACCCACUGUAUCUAUUCUAUUUCCCCUUGCCAGAGAGACCCCUGUUUCCCCUCUUAAGCUCUUUGGUAAUUCUUGAUUAGGUGAGAUGGAGCUACAUGUGACACAAGCGCAAGUUCUACCGCAAUGAUUAUAAAGCAUGGGAAGAUCAAACAGAGGCAAAAGGCAGUGAGACUUGAGGGCUAGCGCUUUGUCCAGGGAGUGACUUCUCGCUCCACACAACAGCCCUGGUUGCUUUCUUUCUGAAGUCUUUGUUUUAACUUCCCAUCACCCAUCACUAAACGUUUCUUCCUACUGGACAUGGAAAUUUCUCCAAAUUAGUUGGAACAGAACACAUUAGAGAUCGGUAGUUUCAAGAUAAUCUCUUUUGUGUAGAAGAAUGACUCUUAAAUGCCUGGUUUAAAACUAGACAGUAGUGAAAUCCAGUGGCUGUAAAGGGCUUGAUUUCUUGUUAGGUGCUACUGACUGACUUACUCAGUGGUAACUACCUGGUCUGUUUGGUGUGUAGCCUGUGGUAGACAUCGUGUAACUUGAUUGUUCAGAUUAACUGGCAAGUGUGAUGAUUUGACUAGAGCAGGUGGGUUUUUUGUUUUCUGGUGUAUAUGCGAGAGUGUGUGUGUGUGUGUGUGUGUGUGUGUGUGUGUGUGUGUGUGUGAGAGAGAGAGAGAGAGAGAGAGAGAGAGAGAGAGAGAGAGUGUGUGUGUGAUGCAAGCACUCUCUGCCUGAGAAUCUAUUUGGUAAAACAAGGUCCAAACAUGGAGUUCAUGACUAGGUCAACACUCUAUAAGUAUGAAAUGAUGAAAAAAGGAAGAAGUGAUGGAAGAAUGACCCUAGUGAGACCAGCAGUUGGGUAGUGAAAGAAUUUGAAUGAAUUAGAACCAGCCAGGAAAAGUUCAGGUUCAAAUUAGUGGAUCAAUGUAACAGGAACAAAAAGGAAAGGCAGAAGUGAGAUGAAAUGAGACUAGGAUGAGAAAGGCACAUUGUUCCCACAUCCAAAGACAGGGUGACAAACAAGAGAACAUCAGGAAAGGGGACAAAGGCCAGCAAUGGAGGUUGUCCAGGAUAACUCCUGCGCAGCUUGAGUGGGUGUGCCAGAAUUUCUGUGGGAGCAUACCUGUUUUGUUUUCAGUCCCUGAGUUCAUCAGACUCCAACAGCAUCAAACUCUAAUGAUGCUCUGCCUUGUAGAUCUUUUACCCUGGAGUUACAGUGGAGAGGAACUGCAUAUUCAUCUCUAAGAAUGUAGCUUGUAGCAGAGCAACAGUAAUGCUUGCUAAAAGUACAUUGAAUGAUAACAGUGAAAUAGAGCAUUCUUUGGAGUACAAAAGUAGUAUUUAAAUCUCCUCUGUGGGC
ensembl:lncRNA